UUGUUUAACCUUCAUCUGCUUGUCGUUAGUUAAAAAUGUAAAGUACUGCACUUAAAAGACCAUGAAAAAGUUCACGAUGCGUUAACAAAAUCGAUAGCAUUUUUGAAAAACAACUUUAAAUAGGUUGGCAAUUACUUUUUUUAAAAGUUGCCAGACCUGUUCUCAAACGCUUGAAUGAUAAGAGUUGGCUCAUAUAUAUGGUGUAGCGACCCAUAAACGAACGAUAUAGCAAUAUUUUCAUCAUAAGGACAUUCUUACAUAGCAAAAGGUGCAGACUUAAACAAAAAUGAAGCAACUCAUGCAAUUUGUGCUCCUGUUUUGUCUUACUGGAUUGGUGCUCAGCAAAAGUGUAUCUAAUGCGGAAAACAAUGAAUUAUUAAAAGAUACAGAACGUCUUGCACACGAUCGCAUACGUAGACAACAGG